CAAAUAUCAGUUCUUUCCAGAUGUCUUCUGUCAUCUUGGUGAAGCACAUGGGUUGUUGCUUGGGGGAACCAUUGCCUGAUAGCUCACCGGGUGGUAAGCUACAUGGCAUCGGCCUCCGAAUCAGAGGUGACGCAGCGCCAGGAGGAGUUCCAGUGUUGUAGAUAGUUUCUUGGCUAAGCACUGAAGGUAGCCACUCCUGGGUGUUGUGCCAACAUAUCCUUGCAAAAUAAUAUUCCAAGCUUCAGCCUCCAGUGUAAACUGUAAGUAAAAUUUCAAUUAUCCACUGAAUGCCACUGUCAAGGACUGUGAUACCAGGUUACCGGGGUGGAUAUAGUCAGAUAGAGCUACUAUAUAGGUUCCUCCUGGUAUGGCACAGAUCAGAUAAAAGUAUGACAUUAAAGGGACACUCUAGGUACCCUAUUUAAAGGAACACUAUAGUGUUAGGAAUACAAAGCUAUAUUCCUAACACUAUAAUGUGCACCAACCCCGUGUGGCACUGAAAGGGUUAAAUAUAUUUUAAACACUUACCCUAUUCCAGCGUUGAAGUCUAUUGGCACUGUCUCAGUCUCUGCCUCCUCCGACAUCAUCGUGAGGGGUAACCGAAUGCGCGGAGAGCAACGCAUGAUAAUUUCAAGACGCUGGACAUCCUAGUGCACACCGUGAAGAAGUCCAGCAUCAUUUUACAGAGUUAAACUCUGUGAAACAGCAGAAAGUGCCUCUACACAGCUACUGGAGGCAAUCUUAAAUCUGCAGUUUCAAGGUUUUCAGAUGAAGGAUUAAGGGUCACUGCAC